CAAUACGUCAGCGGCAGACGGGUGAGUAACGCGUGGGAACAUACCUUUUGGUUCGGAACAACACAGGGAAACUUGUGCUAAUACCGGAUAAGCCCUUACGGGGAAAGAUUUAUCGCUGUUGGAGGGGCCCGCGUCGGAUUAGCUAGUUGGUGGGGUAACGGCCUACCAAGGCGAUGAUCCGUAGCUGGUCUGAGAGGAUGAUCAGCCACACUGGGACUGAGACACGGCCCAG
rnacentral:rRNA from 1 species